UAUAGAGGUCUCAAGCGUUGUUCGGAUUCAUUGGGCGUAAAGGGUGCGUAGGUGGCGCUGUAAGUCGGGUGUGAAAUCCUGAGGCUUAACCUCAGAAUUGCAUUCGAUACUGCAGUGCUUGAGGACUGGAGAGGAGACUGGAAUUCAUGGUGUAGCGGUGAAAUGCGUAGAGAUCAUGAGGAAGACCAGUGGCGAAGGCGGGUCUCUGGACAGUUCCUGACGCUGAGGCGCGAAAGCCAGGGGAGCAAACGGG
rnacentral:rRNA from 1 species